ensembl:lncRNA
UUAGACAUCAAGACUAUGGGUUUUGAAUGAAAUGGACCCAGGUCCUAUCUUGUUCCAAUAACUUGUAAGUUUUGUGAUCUCAUGAAUGUUAUCUAACUUCUUUAAUAAUAUCAAGCAUCUCUCAAGUGGGUAUUACGUGUUGGUGUGUGUGCCCAAUUUCUCAGUCCUGUCUGACACUUUGUGACCCUAUGACUGUAGCUCUUCUGUCCAUGGAAUUUACUGGGCAAGAAUACUGGAAUGGGUUGCCAUUUUCUUCUCUAAUUAUGUGCCUAUGCUCAACUAAUUAUUUCACUAUUUUAUCUUUUUAUGUAAUUUUAUCUUUAAUGACAACAUUCUGUUCAGUUCAGUCAUUCAGUCAUGUCUGACUGCGACCCCAUGGAUCGCAGCAUGCCAGGCUUCCCUAUCUAUCACCAACUGCCGGAGUCUACCCAAACCCAUGUCCAUCGAGUCGGUGAUGCCAUCCAACCAUCUCAUCCUCCGUCAUCCCCUUCUCGUCCUGCCCUCAAUCUUUCCCAGCACCAGGGUCUUUUCAAGUGAGUCAGCUCUUGCAUCAGGUGGCCAAAGUAUUGGAGUUUCAGCUUCAAUAUCAGUCCUUCCAAUGAACACCCAGGACUAAUUUCCUUUAGGCUGGACUGGCUGGAUCUCCUUGCAGUCCAAGGGACUCUCAAGAGUCUUCUCCAACACCACACUUCAAAAGCAUUAAUUCUUCACUCAGCUUUCUUUAUAGUCUAACUUUCACAUCCAUACAUGACCACAGGAAAAACCAUAGCUUUGACUAGACAGACUGUUGUUUGUAAAGUAAUGUCUCUGCUUUUUAAUAUGCUGUUGAGGCUGGUCAUAACUUUCCUUCCAAAGAGUAAGCAUCUUUUAAUUUCAUGGCUGCAGUCACCAUCUGCAGUAAUUUUGGAGCCCCCAAAAUAAAGUCUGACACUGUUUCUACUGUUUCCCCAUCUAUUUUCCAUGAAGUGAUGGGACCGGAUGCCAUGAUCUUAGUUUUCUGAAUGUUGAGGUUUAAGCCAACUUUUUCACUCUCCUCUUUCACUUUCAUCAGGAAGCUCUUUAGUUCUUCUCCACUUUCUGCCCUAAAGGUGGUAUCAUCUGCAUAUCUGAGGUUAUUGAGAUUUCUCCUGGCAAUCUUGAUGCCAGCUUAUAUUUCUUCCAGUCCAGCGUUUCUCAUGAUGUACUCUGCAUAGAAGUUAAAUAAGCAGGGUGACAAUAUACAGCCUUGACAUUCUCCUUUUCCUAUUUGGAACCAGUCUGUUGUUCCAUGUCCAGUUCUAACUGUUGCUUCCUGACCUGCAUACAGAUUUCUCAAGAGGCAGAUCAGGUGGUCUGAUAUUCCCAUCUCUUUCAGAAUUUUCCACAGUUUAUUGUGAUCCACACAGUCAAAAGCAUAGUCAAUAUGCUUUGGCAUAGUCAAUAAAGCAGAAAUAGAUGUUUUUCUGGAACUCUCUUGCUUUUUCAAUGAUCCAGCGGAUGUUGGCAAUUCGAUUUGAUCUCUGGUUCCUCUGCCUUUCCUAAAACCAGCUGAACAUCUGGAAGUUCAUGGUUCACGUAUUGCUGAAGCCUGGCUUGGAGAAUUUUAAACAUUACUUUGCUAGCAUGUGAGAUGUUCUGAGGCAGUUACAAAUAUUACCUUAUUUUACUAAUGAGAAAUGUAGAGUGCAGAGAGGAUAAUAACUUGCUUAAGAUGGCACAGUUAUAAGUAGUGGAGCCAUAGUUUAAACUGAAAUACUCUGACUCAGGCACUUAAAGUAUAAUCUUUACACAAUACUGCCUCAGUUUUCUUGCUGCUGCUACUGCUAAGUCACAUCAGUCGUGUCCGACUCUGUGCGACCCCACAGAUGGCAGCCCACCAGGCUCCUCUGUCCCUGGGAUUCUCCAGGCAAGAAUACUGGAGCGGGUUGCUAUUUCCUUCUCCAAUACAUGCAUGCUAAGUUGCUUCAAGUCGGACACAACUGAAGUGACUUAGCAGCAGCAGCAGCAGCUAAGAAUAAACAGGUAUAUUUACCUUCACUGAUCUUUUAGGUGUGGGUUUCAAUAGGUGCAGCGAAGCUGCUGUACACCUCCCCUUUCCUUCUGCAGUGUUCGAAGGUGACUCGUUCCUCUGACUCCAACAGCACAGUGCUUGAUUACCUUGAUGGUAUUUAUUGCAUUGUUUACUACUUUUAGUGUACACAUUUUUCUCUUGUACUACUUUGCAAGCUUCAUGAUAGGAAUUUGAUCUCAGACAUUUAAAAUCCUCGAAUCUUGGGACAUUGCUUGACUAGAACAUAGUAUGUUACCAAAAAUUGUGUGGAUAAUAUAUGAAUCAAUGCAUAGUCUUGUUAGUACUCAUAAAGUACAAUAGUAUUUUUAUUUGUUUCACUCUUUAGGGAAUUUAAAAUAG